CCGGCAAUUAGGCUCAGAGCACUCUGAUUGGUGGGUUUAAGCUAUCCAAUCAGAGUGCUCUGACAGGUAAGUCUCUACAUUUACCUGUCACAGCACUCUGAUUGGUUGGCUUGAAAUCCACCAAUCAGAGUGCUCUGUGUCAUUUUACACAGCGUGGGAAAGUUCUUUGGAAUUUUCCCACACUGUGUAAUUUGACUCAUAACUCUCUGAUUUGUGGAUUAAGUAACCAAUCAGAGUGUUAUGAGUCAUCUAUCUGAGGUAGAGACAUCUAUAGAUUAGUGGGAUUUAGGAGUUCGUGGGAUCUGUAUGAAAGAGAAAAGAUAAUCUAAUAGUGCAAUAAAACCCAAAUAUGUAACAGCCGAUAAAAAGGUCUAUAUGGUCAUACUCACAUUUUUGAGAGCUAAAAACUAGCUCUGGUAUAAACAGCGUACAGUAGUAUACUCCCCACUUAUGGGAUACAUGAGGGAGUGUUGUAAGUAGAUAUCUCGUCAGAUGGGGACCAUAUGUAACAUAAAAAACAACAAUAGUGCUCACUGUGAUAAAACCAGGAGAGUGUAUAAAAAUACCAAAUGGUUACUCACAUUUAAUUGGGCGGACACACUGCUCAAUGAUAGGGCAUAAGUGGUAUAAUUCCCACCAAGGAUGCUUUGGAGUAGUAUGUCUCAGGAACAAGUAGGAACAAGUAGAUGCCAGGUAGUAAAAUGAUAAAAAGGGUAAAAAAGAUAAAUGGUGCCAAAAUUACAUCAUGGUCAUGGCAUAACUUUAGUAUAAAACUUGUGUCAGCCAUAUUAG